GAUGAACGCUGGCGGCGUGCCUAAUACAUGCAAGUCGAGCGAACAGAUGAGGAGCUUGCUCCUCUGACGUUAGCGGCGGACGGGUGAGUAACACGUGGAUAACCUACCUAUAAGACUGGGAUAACUUCGGGAAACCGGAGCCAAUACCGGAUAAUAUAUUGAACCGCAUGGUUCAAUAGUGAAAGACGGUUUUGCUGUCACUUAUAGAUGGUUCCGCGCCGCAUUAGCUAGUUGGUAAGGUAACGGCUUACCAAGGCAACGAUGCGUAGCUGACCUGAGAGGGUGAUCGGCCACACUGGAACUGAGACACGGUCCAGACUCCUACGGGAGGCAGCAGUAGGGAAUCUUCGGCAAUGGGCGAAAGCCUGACGGAGCAACGCCGCGUGAGUGAUGAAGGUCUUCGGAUCGUAAAGCUCUGUUAUUAGGGAAGAACAGAUGUAUAAGAAACUAUGCACGUCUUGACGGUACCUAAUCAGAAAGCAACGGCUAACUACGUG
rnacentral:rRNA from 1 species